AUUCUGACAGCUAUAUAGAAACACCAAGAACCACUCCAUUUCCCCAGCACUGCAGGUGCCAGUCAGUUGACAUACGUAGCGGGUUCUGGAAAGAAAAGCUGUCCCCAAAGCACGUCACACAAAGCAUGUAUAUACUGUACACUUCAUUACUGGACAGAUCCAAAGAUGAUGCCCUGACACCAUGAUGAAAUUACUUAGUAUUCAAGAAGUUCCUGAUUAAGCCCUGAUUAACAGACUGACCAUACAUUCAGGUACAUCCUUCUCUAAGGAGUCUCUAUCCGCUUCAUCAUGAUAUAUCACUGGGUUCCAUGAAGCACAAUCUGAAAACCACUGGACUAGAUGACUUCUCUAGGCCUUAAAAUUUAAACAGUCUGUGAUAAAUGA